CUCUCAGAAAGCAGCAGCAGCCCAGGAAUCCGGUGGCCCCCUUUUUCAAGUGUCCCUGCGUGACUCUGUACCACAGGGAGUUGUGCUUCUGCAUGUCAGCGCGUUCAGUUCUGAGUGUGACGUCUACCUUGAAUGACGGCCUGCGGCGGCAGCAGCAGCUUCCUCCUGUUUCCUGCUUUCCUCUGUCCCUGAUGACCUUUUCUGCUUUUGUUGUGGUAGUAUGUACGACAGUCCUUUCUCCUCCCUCUUCCUCGCACUUUCUGGGGACAGUAGUGAAGAAGAAGAAGAAGAAGAUGAGGAGGAUGAUGAUGAAGGUGGUGGUGAUGAUGAUUUUUCUUGUGUCCAGUUUGGGUCCAGGUAUCACAGAAUGGAGUCUGACCCUGCAUGUGCUUCAGGUGCUUAGGGACUAACGUUAGCAAGCGCUGCUUAGGGCUCUCCGCUUUGAGUCCAGACAGGGCAGAAGGCUCGCAGGCGUGCACUCGAGUAGAAGUGACACAUC
rnacentral:lncRNA from 1 species